AAAUUAGCUGGAUGUCGUGGUACACACCUGUAAUCCCAGCUACUAGGGUGGCUGAGGCAGGGGAAUCAUUUGAACCCAGGAGGCGGAGGUUGCAGUGAGCCGAGAUGGUGCCACUGCACUCCAGCCUGGGUGACUCUGUCUCAAAAAUAAAUCAGUAAAUAAAUUAAUAAAUAAUAAAAAUAAGAAUUAUAAGAAAGAAAUCAAGGAUGUUUUAGUUUCAUGUAAUUUUGAAGUGUCUAGCCCAUUGCUUCCUUCCAUCAUUUGGAGAACCACCUGCUC
rnacentral:lncRNA from 1 species